rnacentral:rRNA from 1 species
UACGGAGGGAGCUAGCGUUGUUCGGAAUUACUGGGCGUAAAGCGCCCGUAGGCGGCUUUGUAAGUUAGAGGUGAAAGACUGGAGCUCAACUCCAGAACUGCCUUUGAGACUGCAUCGCUAGAAUCCGGGAGAGGUGAGUGGAAUUCCGAGUGGAGAGGUGAAAUUCGUAGAUAUUCGAAAGAACACCAGUGGCGAAGGCGGCUCACUGGACCGGUAUUGACGCUGAGGUGCGAAAGCGUGGGGAGCAAACAGG